rnacentral:lncRNA from 1 species
CGGGCGCUGCGGUCCACUGGGUCCGCCUCUUCCCGGCAUGGGUUUCUGCCCAGCUCACCCGCUGUCAGCUGGGGUCCUGCUCUGGUGGGAGGAAGAGGCUCAGACGCUUCCCUGCCCUCUCGCCUCAACCACCUCGAGGCAGCGGCUCCCAGGAUGUGCACUUUGACGACUAAAGCUGAGCCGGCGCCGCCACGACCUUGGGCGGGUGGUCGGCCUCUGCCCUGAGCAGGAAGUAGAAAGUCUCAGCAGACCCUUCCUGAGGGCCGAGCAACAGUGUAGUGGCGUAUUCCACAUAGCAAACAGUUUUCUGAAGCUCAGAGGGACACCUUGUAUUGCUGGAUGAUAAAAACAGGAGCAAAGUGAUGAAGUGCUGACAAGGCAACAAUAGAACAUGAGAGAUUCACUGCUGUGUAGGAAGAGAUCUUCGGUGACCAUGUAGCCUGAAGCUCUCAUUUUGUCAUCGAGGGACACCAAAACUCAGAACAGCAGCAGCUCACGCUGCUGAUGCAACACAGGUGAAGAGCACCUUCCCCUCCCCCACCUGUGGGCUGAUUCCCACCACGUGGAUCCCAAGGCCAUCCCAGGAACUCUUUGGAGGGGAGAAGCCCAGUGGAAACUGUCAGGCCUCUGAGCACAAGCCAAGCCAUCGCAUCCCCUGUGACUUGCACGUAUAUGCCCAGAUGGCCUGAAGUAACUGAAGAAUCACAAAAGAAGUGAAAAGGCCCUGCCCCACCUUAACUGAUGACAUUCCACCAUUGUGAUUUGUUCCUGCCCCACCUUCACUGAGUGAUUAACCCUGUGAAUUUCCUUCUCCUGGCUCAGAAGCUCCCCCACUGAGCACCUUGUGACCCCCGCCCCUGCCCACCAGAGAACAACCCCCUUUGACUGUAAUUUUCCAUUACCUUCCCAAAUCCUAUAAAACGGCCCCACCCCUAUCUCCCUUCGCUGACUCUCUUUUCGGACUCAGCCCGCCUGCACCCAGGUGAAAUAAACAGCCAUGUUGCUCAC